AAAUAGGCCUUUCUAAAGGCCACAUAACCUUCAAUUUAUGCAAAAGU
rfam:Oryctolagus cuniculus chromosome 15, whole genome shotgun sequence.